CUGGGGAGACCGGGGGGGGCCCGGGAGCUGGAGCCGGGCGGUGUCCGGGCCUGUCCCGGGCUCCCUCCUCCCUGAGGGAAAACCCGACCGUAACAGCUUCGCGAGGGCUGGUCCCGGUGUGCCCAAGCACGUGGCCGAGCUGAUGGGACGCGGAGCGGGAGGAGGGAGCUGCGCGACGGGCGCCUCCUGCGGCCCAGCGGCGGGGGCCCGGGCAGGCGCCCCUGCGCGUCGCUGGUCGCCCAGGCAGCGAGCGCGGCGAGCUGUGACACGCGUGGGUGCGCCAGUGCGGCUGGGCUAGGUUGGAGCAGGGCGAGUGGGCUGCCAAGUGCUGUUCUGGUUGCCCUGGUGAGAAAAGCUGCUGCAGUACCCACUUGGUAGAGAACCUUCCUCCAAACUGAAGGUAUCGUUACGUGUGGCAGCUAAUUCUGCUUACAGAGCACCGAGGCCCAGUCUCGGGGGAAAAAGCAAACACACAACAAACAAAAACCAACCAAAUAUUUCCCAGUGGAAAAGGACCUGAGGGUAUUGGUCGACAGCUGGCUGAAUGUGAGCCAGCGGUGUGCCCAGGUGACCAAGAAGGCCACAGCAUCCUGGCCUGUAGUGUGGCCAGCAGGAGCAGGGCAGCGAUUGUCCCCCUGUACUCCUGCACCCUGCAUGGGUGAGGCCACACCUCCAGUGCUUUGUGCAGUUCUGGGCUCCUCACUGCAAGGACACUGAGGUGCUGGAGCGAGUCCAGAGAAGAACAAUGAAGCUGGUAAAGGAUCUGGAGUACAAGUCUCACCUAGGAGGAGCGGCUGAGGGAGCUGGGGUUGUUUAGCCUGGAGAAAAGGAGGCCGAGGGGGGAGACCUUAUCAGUCUCUACAACUGACUACCCGAAAGGAGGUUGUAAGGAGGUGGGAGUGGGUCUCUGCUUUCAAGUAACACGUGAUGGGAAAAGACAAAUGGGCUCAAGUUGUACCACUGGAGGUUUAUAUUGGAUAUUAGGAAAAAUUUCUUCACCGAAAGGGUUGUCAGGCACUGCAAUAGGCUGCCCAGGGAAGUGGUUGAGUCAUCAACCCUGGAGGUGUUUAACAGAAAUGUAGAUGUGGUGCUUAGGAAUAUGGUUUGCUGGUGGACUCUGCAGUGCUGCGUUAACGGCUGGACUUGGAUGAUCUUAAAGAUGUUUUUUCCAACCAAAACUAUUCCAUGGUGGUCACAAUUUCUGUCCAUCCUAACGCCUGCAUUUUGUGACUCUCUUCCUUAACCGUGGUGUUGCCAUCUAGUGCCGAAAAGCCGUCAGUGACCGUCACCAGGAUCAGCUCUGGCUGUCCACAACCAGGGCCGUGUUAAACUUCUGAGAUUAGCUUAAUAUAAAAGAGAACAUGAAAAGUAAUUGAGAAAAGCCAGCAACCUCCCCCAAAUAUCUGGAUUUCACAAGGACUUGCAGAGAUGUUGCAUUCGGGCAGGAGCAAUUUGUAAUAAGGAAAAGAUUCCCUACCCAGUGCUCCUCAGACACUCAGAACACGUCCUGGCUGUGAUUUAACAUAUACAUUUACUUCUGUUAGUCAUUACAUUACUUUGGAUUAAAGGCAAAGUAACUGGA